rnacentral:rRNA from 1 species
UACGGAGGGUGCAAGCGUUAUCCGGAAUCACUGGGCUUAAAGCGUGUGUAGGCGGGUCGUAAGUGUCUUGUGAAAUCCCCCGGCUCAACCGGGGGAAUGGCUGGGCAUACUGGCGAUCUUGAGCAGUCUAGGGGCAGAUGGAACAAGUGGUGGAGCGGUGAAAUGCGUAGAUAUCACUUGGAACGCCAACGGUGAAGACAGUCUGCUGGGGACUUGCUGACGCUGAGACACGAAAGCCAGGGGAGCGAACGGG